CUCUGGGGAGCGGCCACAAGAUGGCAGUGUUUCAGAACAUUGUUUUACGGGGACGUGAGCUUAGCUGAAACGCUGACCAGGAAGGUGUCGAUGCAGCCUUGAUAUUUAAAGAGGUAAAUCCUUUCCUGCUGAGAGUAGAAGCAUCAUAGAGCAUGUUCUGGACAAUUUCUGGUGACUCAUCCCUAGCCCCUAUCCAGAAUUACCUAAUAUGAUGUUACCCUUGUCUGCUACUGGCUGGCACAAUCAUAAGAAGUCACUAGCUCGUGUCUGCCCUUCCCUAGGACUUCCGUGUCACCUGGCUUAUCCAAGCCCUCUUCGGUGGUCUGUGGGACAUUUUUUGUACUUUAAGAUUAGAGUGCCUACAAGUAGGAAGAAGGACAUAGCACCAUCGCCACUCAGAUGGCUCCAACGGCUCUAUUAUGCAAAGGAUACAUUUUACCGUCCUGGAGAGUUUUGUGGAACAGAGCUGGAGUUGAGCCACAGACAGAAAACAAUGCAUAUCAAAGAUGGCAGAGUAAAACAUCGACUGUCUACUGAAACACAAUCGCAGUCUUUGCCUGGGGUAGCCGAGUCUAAUUGAAGCCAUCGUUUCACAACCGAGAGGGAACUUUCUCUGGAGAAGCUGAGGAAGCCUGAAAGCAACGACAGAGAAAGCUGCUGCUGCUGCUGCUGCUGCGGUCCUCGAGGUCAAAUUGCGAUGGAAGUGACGUGUGUUGGCAUCUGCCUGUUUUACUUCUGGGCUCGCUUCCCAUUUUCUCAGUGCCUCCUCAGUUCCCUCCGAGUUGGUGGAAACUUGUUUCCUCUUAGCCUCUGUUCUUCCUUGGUUUUAUCAAAACAUGAGAUAAGGAAGGGCUUUAUUUCAGCCAAAUUUUCUCUGUGUGAAAUGAUGACAAUGAAUGGUUUCUCCCAUAGUUAUUUGCAUUUUAAGUAUCAGUAAUAAAUAUGGAAGAAAAUAGUUUUCUUCUUGGUAACUUACAUUUAUAUUCUUAACAAGGGGUGGAAACAUUUUUUAAGGAAAAAAUCAAUUCUCCCUUAACAUCUCUCUGGUUGUAUAUUUAAUACUUAAAGUGGGUCAUAAUGGCCAGAAUGCACUCCUAUUCAACCUCCUCAGAGGAUAGAAGAAGAAUUUUGCUUUUGAUAUAUAGAGGAGUAUCUUAGAAAUCUGUGAGAAAUCAGUGUAUUAGUUCUCAUGGAGAUAGUCAAGCUUACUUUGAGAUCUUGUUCUCUUCCAUUUUAUCUUUCUUU
rnacentral:lncRNA from 1 species